rnacentral:tRNA from 1 species
GGGUGGGUGGCUUAGUGGUUAGAGCCUAGGGCACCUAACCGAAAGGUUCCGAGUUCGAACCUCGCAAAAGAGG